AGCAUUGCACCAUAGACCACGCUAUUGAUGACGCUUGAUGUGUUGGCGUCUGCUAUGUGUGUGAAUCAAUUUGAAAUUAAAAUGAUUCAAAAUUGAAUUCUUACAGAUCAAAUGUAACGAAAAUUAUUUCUAUUUCUUAUUUGUAAAUUAAAUGCUGAAGUUGACGAUGAGCAGAUGACGCCAUCUUCAUGACGCUAUUGAACCACGCUACUGACGCCACUAUCACCGAUAGAUGGAAAUCUUCAAAACCACAUUUGGUAUUCAACUAUAAUAGAAAUUUUCUUUUCGUGCUGUAUAUUUCUUUCUUCUUUAUCAAUUAAAAAAAAAAAAACGAUCAAUUUCGCCAGGAUAGUUCCACACCGCUUUAUGCUGUUGAGCUAUUAAUUUUUCUCAAAUAUUUUGUAAAUAAAAUUCUAUUUCGACAUAGCCGAGAUUCGAACACCGGCGCUUGAGAUUCAUAGCCCGAGGUGCUAACCACUAGACCACCCGUUGACAUGUACGGAAAAGGGAAAACAUGGGAGUGUAUGGUAUGGCCCAGGUAAACCCCCCUUCACUCACCCCUCUCGCACGAGUGCGUGCAGCCUCCCCUGCUCGACCACCCUUCUGGCCGGCUUGAGCAGCACCUCGCGUCAGCCGCAUAAAACAAGAAACUUAAAAGUGAUAUGCGUUUGUUGCUUUAAAAAACAUGAAAUUGUUAUGGAUAUGUUUGAAAUCAAUCCGUAAGAUUUAUUUCAUCAAACAUUUUCAUUUCCUACUUCACCUGAGUACUGGCAUUAGCAUAGGUAGAGGGGGGAGACGCGUUCAAGGCUGAGCCGCUGAAGGGGAGAGACGCGUUCAAGGCUGAGCCGCUGAAGGGGGGAUCGAGCUACGGAACAAAUAAAUGGCGAAGAAAACACGAAAAUUUGUUCAUUUUUUUUAAUUAGCGAUAGUUAAUAAGUGAAAACGACGUUUGAACAAAUGAGUUUUACAGUUAAGAUCAAGGGGAAUACGUUCAUCAAAAAAUAAAGACGGGAAUCAGCUGCCUAACAUGUGAAAAACGAAACGGCAAUGUGUGAAAUCACUCAUCGUGAUUUGAGCUACGGCAAUGAAUAUAUACGGUGGCGGAUCUCUCGCAGAUUAUUCCGCCUUCUCGCUCAUGUAGAGUAGGUCGAAUGUUUUUAUGAAAAUAUUUCAGAGUACCUAAUGGAACUUAGAAAUAAAUGGGAGAAAUAGGCCCACUUUGACGGAGAAAUAGGACCGCUUUAGAAAUAUUUUCUAUAGUGGGCCUAUUUUGUAGGGUCCUAUUUGGUAGGUCCUAUUUGACGGGCCUAUUUUGUAGGGGCCUAUUUCGUUAGGUCCUAUUUCACCGGCUACC